ACUUAACACACCCCCCUAAAAAUCCAAAUUUACCCUCACACGCAAACUCCCUGUCAAACUCUAUCAUUUCUUUUGUUCCUUUCUUUCAACCUAAAACCCAAAAAUUUUCAAUCAAAAAAUUCAUUCAAUACUCAAAAUCAAUUUGAGAACUUGUGUUGUCAUUCUUCAAUCGAAAUUUGUCGCUUGAUCUUCCCUACAAAUUUUUCACUGUUGUUGUAAGGCGCCUACACGUGUAUCAUAAAAGUUAUGUUAAUUGGUUGCUACACUUGGGAGGGGACGGGGGAAACAGCCCACACCGCAAGCUGCCUGCUGCUCACUUGGGCAUGAGCAGACUGCCCCGCAACCACCCUGCAGGCUGCAGCUGUCCUCCACAAGAACCUAAUGGGUCUCAAACAAAAGAAGUAGAGGCAAAACGAGCAUGGAAUAAAAGGCCUCGCGGAAGAACAACUGCAGCACCAGGUGGUCUUUUGUCGAUCAAGUUGCUUCGGGGUUAUCGUGGUCGUGUUUUAUUUAAUUUGUGAGAAAUAGAGCUUAUUGCUUUGUUCAAUAUGUACGAAAUAUACUAUACAAUUUUGUUCAAUAUAUACGAAUUAAAGUAUACUAUUUUGUUCAAUAUGUAUGAAAUAGACUAAUAGAGUAUAUAAUUUUGUUCAAUGUGUACGAAAUAAAGUAUAUUGUUUUGUUCAA